rnacentral:rRNA from 1 species
GCAUAAUCUCUGAGGAGAAAAGCAGGGGAUCUUAGACCUUGUGCUUUUGGAGCGGCCGAUGCCUGAUUAGCUAGUUGGUGGGGUAAAGGCCUACCAAGGCUUCGAUCAGUAGUUGGUCUGAGAGGACGACCAGCCACACUGGGACUGAGACACGGCCCAGACUCCUACGGGAGGCAGCAGUGGGGAAUUUUGGACAAUGGGGGCAACCCUGAUCCAGCCAUGCCGCGUGAGUGAAGAAGGCCUUCGGGUUGUAAAGCUCUUUCAGUCGGGAAGAAAAGGUUGCGGUUAAUAACCGUAACUCAUGACGGUACCG